CUGCUCGCUUCAGCAGCACAUGCACUAAAACUGGAACGACACAGAGAAGAUCGGUAUGGCCCCCGCACAAGGAGGACACGCAAAUUCGUGAAGCGUUCAUAUUUUUA